rnacentral:lncRNA from 1 species
GAAAACAAAAAUUUAUAUGCUCUUAAUUUAGAGCAUAAUGAUUUAACAAAUAAUGGCCAGAAUGUUGAAGAAAUUAAUAUGUUGUUUGAAACUAUUAAAAAUAAAAAAACAAUAAAAAUUUUGAAUUUAUCAAAUACUAAUAUGAAUAAAAAUAAUGGUGAUAAAUUGUGUGAGAUGUUAGAAAAUAAUAAAGCCAUAAUAGAAAUGAAUUUUGAGAAUAGCGACUUCACGUGUGAUCAAAAUUGUAAAAUAAUAAAAUGUUUAAUAAGAAAUAAAAAUAUUUGGCUACAUCAAGCUGAAAUAGAGAAGGAGGAAAAUGAAAAGAUGGAAAAAGAAGAAAAUUAUAUGCAUACGUAUCAUAUGUCUGUAGAAGCUUCCAUUAUUGACAUUAAAAAUAAAGAAAAGCGACAAAGCUUGAAUAAAAUGGUUUACGUGAAUAUGUGGAAAAAAGAAAUAAAAGAGAAGGAACAAAAUAAAAAAAAUAUAUAUGAAUCCCUGGAGAAGGAACACGAAAAAAGAAUAAAAAGGGCUGCCGCAAAAAAAAAAAAGCAAAAAAAAAAGUAGACUUGUUAUAAAAAAAAUGUCAACUUUUUAUUAAGUGACAUUUUUAAAAUUAAUUAUUGUAGAAAUUUCUUUUUUGCACAAAAAAAAAGUAAAAUAUUAUUUAUUUAUUUAUUUAUUUAUUUUUUUUUUUUUUUAUUUUUUUUUUUUAAUGCUCAUGUUAUAUACAAUACUAAAAAUAAAAAAAGUGAACUGAUAUGAAAAAAAAAUUGA